rnacentral:snRNA from 1 species
GGAUGUGAGUGAGAUCUGGCUGUGACAUCUGUCACCCUGUUGAUUGCCAGGGUUGAUUUGGCCGAUAACAGCUGGCUAAGCAGGUGUCCGCAUCCUCUCUUACCGUCCUCUAUGUGUCUCUCUUGAAGCUGCACGUGUUCUGGUGGAAGAGGAUGACCUACCUUUGUAGAGGAAGACCAUCCUUCUGUAAAGGGCAUAAGAGUAGCUGUCCUCCCCUGCUAGAAGUUCUAAAUUAGCUCUGAAGAAAUGUGCUUUAACAUAAACGCACAAUAGAUUAAAAGUAAGGAAUGGCAACACAAGUCAAAAGAAAGCUGGAGUAGCUAUAUUACUAU